rnacentral:rRNA from 1 species
GCUUAACGCGAAGAACCUUACCCAGGCUUGACAUCCCUGGAAGGUCUCCGAAAGGAGACUGUGCCUUCGGGAAUCAGGUGACAGGUGCUGCAUGGCCGUCGUCAGCUCGUGUCGUGAGAUGUUUGGUUAAGUCCAUUAACGAGCGCAACCCUUGUAAGUAGUUGAAUUUUUCUACUUAGACCGCCUCGGUAACGGGGAGGAAGGAGGGGAUGAUGUCAGGUCAGUAUUGCCCUUACGCCUGGGGCUACAAACACGCUACAAUGGCCGGUACAAAGGGCAGCCAACCCGCGAGGGGGAGCAAAUCCCAUCAAAGCCGGUCUCAGUUCGGAUUGUAGGCUGAAACUCGCCUGCAUGAAGCUGGAAUCGCUAGUAAUGGUAGGUCAGCACACUACCGUGAAUACGUUCCCGGGUCUUGUACACACCG